rnacentral:rRNA from 1 species
GGCCUGGUGGCCCCAGCGGGGGGCCAACACCCGAUCCCAUCCCGAACUCGGCCGUGAAACCCCCCAGCGCCAAUGGUACUUUGUCUCAAGACACGGGAGAGUAGGUCGCUGCCAGGCCUG